rnacentral:rRNA from 1 species
UACGUAGGGUCCGAGCGUUGUCCGGAAUUAUUGGGCGUAAAGGGCUCGUAGGCGGUUUGUCGCGUCGGGAGUGAAAACUCAGGGCUCAACCCUGAGCGUGCUUCCGAUACGGGCAGACUAGAGGUAUGCAGGGGAGAACGGAAUUCCUGGUGUAGCGGUGGAAUGCGCAGAUAUCAGGAGGAACACCGGUGGCGAAGGCGGUUCUCUGGGCAUGACCUGCGCUGAGGAGCGAAAGCAUGGGGAGCGAACAGG